rnacentral:lncRNA from 1 species
GUGAAACAUGAUCUUUGUUUUAUAAAGCUUUUAUGGCAUGUUUAUGUUCUCAAACCUUGAUCCUCCAGUUAGGGGCUGUCUAAAAUGUAUAUAUGAGUUCUCUAUAUAAAGUAGGUCAGGAGCAGGCAUUACUGAUCCAGAGUCUGGGCUAGGAGCCAGGAGCCCAGGUACUGGGGAGAGGGCCCCUUGAGAGAGAAUCAGCUCCCUGCAAGGUGAUGCCUGGCUCCUGAUCAUGUCAACAUUUACUUAACAGUCUGUGUUUCCAGUCAUUUCUGGUCUUUCUCAGAAGCUUGUUCUCUGUCCUCAAUUUGUGGGCAAACACAUGUACAUGCACGCACACACGCACACAGACACAUGGACAGACACACACACACACACACACACACACACACAGAGCUGCAAUAUUGCAGCCUUCUAUCCACAACACAAAGAAGCAUUAACAGUUUUCCAGGGGCGAAGGGGGCAAAUUUCAUGUUAUCUCAGCAGACCCUCCCUCGUGGAUUCUUUUCGAUGCCAGAAGGUUCCUAAUUUUCUGCAUUCCUCUGUCCCCUGAUGCAAAAGGAAGGCCCUGAGUAUGUGUGGACCGACGGCUCCUCCAGCUGGUCUUCUCCUCUGCACGUGGAUGAUAAAGGAGUCGUAGCGUGCCAAUAAUGAUGCAGAACAUUUCUCAAUCCUACUCAGGAAGAGGAAUGCUGAGUGAAGGGGACCUUGGAACCUAAGUUUUAUUACUCUGGCUAUAAAUUUUCAGUGGUUGUCAAGAAAGCAGAGGAACAUGAGAGUUCUGUCAUUUCUUCUUUCUCAUUUUCUCUCAUUCCUGCCCUUGUCCUAUGGCAACCCACCCCUAUGAUUAGGCGGGACUCCACCCACCCCGGCAACACUGCAGAGACCAUCUGGAGCCCAGAUGAUUUCCUUGCCUCCUGGAAGCUCUCGCGGAAGGUUCUGACUCCAUCUCCCAGCCAGGCUUGAACAGAGUGUGUCCCAAAGGACUUAGAAGCAGCCGGAGCCUACCCUCCCCUCGUCACUUUCUGGAGAAGGGCCUGGGACCAGCCCAAGGCAGAGGCCAUCUGAAAUAGCCCAUAUGGGGUUUUGCUAGAUGGGCUCGGGUCCCUGGAGACAGCAUCCUGUAGGCUCCCAAUCUGGCCUGCCUGGGUUCUGGAGCCUGUGAGGGAGUCACGAUUUGCUGAACUUGAGAGUCUUCAGGAAAGCCAGAGGAGAGCAAGGCAUGAGACCAGCCAAGCAGGUGCCUGGUCUCCUUAGAGCAAAUGUGUGAUUCACGUGGGUCUGAAUCGUGGGAGUUGGCUUGGUCUACCCGGGGUCACUCUUGACCUUAAAAGCAAUGCUAACGCUGA